rnacentral:rRNA from 1 species
CCCAGCAGCCAUCUCACCCUGCACUCACAACUGGCAGCCCACUGAAGCUCAGCAGGUGCGAGUCAGGUCAGUACCUGGAUGGGAGACCUCCUGGGAAGAAGUUGCUGCUGGAA